GCCAAACCAUCUGUGAAGUUGGGACGGAAAGCCACGGGUCUUUUUUAAAGAUAGCCGGGUUACU
rnacentral:ncRNA from 1 species